UGAGUAACACGUAUGCAAUCCACCUGUAACAGGGGGAUAACCCGGAGAAAUCCGGACUAAUACCCCAUAAUAUGGGCGCUCCGCAUGGAGAGCCCAUUAAAGAGAGCAAUCUUGGUUACAGACGAGCAUGCGCUCCAUUAGCCAGUUGGCGGGUAACGGCCCACCAAGGCGACGAUGGAUAGGGGUUCUGAGAGGAAGGUCCCCCACAUUGGAACUGAGACACGGUCCAA
rnacentral:rRNA from 1 species